UAGUCCACGCCGUAAACGAUGUCUACUAGCCGUUGGGAGGCUUGAGCCGUGGCUUUCGGAGCUAACGCGUUAAGUAGACCGCCUGGGGAGUACGGUCGCAAGAUUAAAACUCAAAUGAAUUGACGGGGGCCCGCACAAGCGGUGGAGCAUGUGGUUUAAUUCGAUGCAACGCGAAGAACCUUACCUACUCUUGACAUCCAGAGAACUUAGCAGAGAUGCUUUGGUGCCUUCGGGAACUCUGAGACAGGUGCUGCAUGGCUGUCGUCAGCUCGUGUUGUGAAAUGUUGGGUUAAGUCCCGCAACGAGCGCAACCCUUAUCCUUGUUUGCCAGCACGUAAUGGUGGGAACUCCAGGGAGACUGCCGGUGAUAAACCGGAGGAAGGUGGGGACGACGUCAAGUCAUCAUGGCCCUUACGAGUAGGGCUACACACGUGCUACAAUGGCGCAUACAGAGGGCGGCCAACCAGCGAUGGUGAGCGAAUCCCAAAAAGUGCGUCGUAGUCCGGAUUGG
rnacentral:rRNA from 1 species